CAUAUGGAGGUUCCCAGGCUAGGGGUCUAAUCGGAUCUGUAGCCACCGGCCUACACCAGAGCCACAGCAACGCCAGGUCUUCGACCUACACAACAGCUCAUGGCAACGCCGGAUCCUUAACCCACUGAGCGAGGCCAGGGAUCGAACCCACAACCUCAUAGUUCCUAGUCAGAUUCGCUAACCACUGCGCCCCGACGGGAAUUUAGAAAGAUGUAGAGCUGAGUGCCAUCCACGUCCAUUCUCCACCCUUCCUUUCCUGGGCUCUUAGCUCUGCGUGAAGAUUCUUCCUCAGAGAUAAAACGGGAAGAGGAAAUCCCACAGGCUCCCUGAGUGUUCACUGCAGCGGGUAGGGGGGUGGAUUCUAACCGCCCUGGUCAAUCAGCCUUUAAAACCAGUUACAGGCCACUUCACACCCACUGGGAUGGCUAUUAUCGGGAAAAAAAAAAGCAGCUCCUGUUGUGGCUCAGCAGAAAUGAACCAGACUAGUAUCCAUGAGGACGUGGAUUCAAUCUCUGGCCUUGCUCAAGGGGUUAAGGAUCACGGUGUUGCCGUGAGCUGUGGUGCAGGUCACAGACAAGGCUCGGAUCUAGGGUUGCUGUGGCUGUGGCCUGCAGCGGCAGCUCCGAUUCCACCCCCAGCCUGGGACCUUCACAUGCGGCCCUUAAAAAAAAAAAAAAAGGGUUGGCGAGGAUGUGGAGAAAUUGGAAUGCCGUGCCUUGCCGGUGGGAAUGUAAAAUGCUUCAGCUGCCACUGGCAAACAGUAUGGCAGCGCCUCAAAAAACGUGGAAUGACUGUAUGAGCCAGUAAUUCCACUUCUGGGUUCAUACACGAAAGAAAGGAAAGCAGGGACCUCAGUGGAUAGUUGCCCCCCCACGACCACAGCAGCAUCGUUCACAGCCACAGAGUGGAAACAAGCCCAGCGUCCGUCGACAGGCUAUAGAGGAUAAACAAAAUGUGAUACGGACACAGAAUGAAAAAUUAUUCAGCCUUAAGUUGGAAGGAACCUCUGACACAGGCUACAGCACGGAUGAACUCUGAGGGCCCUAUGCUCAGUGAUGCCCUGAGGACGGCAGAUGCAGAAAGAAAAGACCAGCACAAUUCUCCUUGUACGAGGUACCUACAGUUGUCAAAUGGAUAGAGACCCAAAACAGAAGGGUGGUUACCAGGGGCUGGGGGUGGGGGGAAUGGGGAGUCAGCGUUUAAUGGGCACAACGUUUCCAUUUGGGAUGACAGAGAAGUUCUGGGGAUGGCGACGGGGACACUUGCGCAACGGUGCGGAUGGAACAUAAUGGCCUUUACUGCACACGUAAGGAUGGUUCAGACAGUCAUUCUAUGUGAUAUACGUCUUACUGUAACUUUCAAAGUGGUUAGAUUUUUUUUUUAAUGUAAGGGAAGAAGGUACAAGCGCAGAGACGAUAAUGCUCCCUUAGAACCGUCCCCUUGAGGGCUUCGGUCACACGCUGCAGAACUGGUCCCCAUAGGCCAGUAUCUUGGACACCUUUUCCAGGCUUAAAGCACAACACUGGCCCCCAAAUCGCUACCGACCAUGUGCUGACCCGAAACAGUUGCACCAGUGUCUAAAGAACCAUCCAGCAGGCAUCAAUAUUUGGAGAAUGAACACGCAGGGAAGUCUGAGGCAAGUGAUUGGAAAGGCGUUUCUAAUUAGGGAGCGGGAACCCUCCACUGAUGGCAGAGGGCCUGGCUGAAAUCCCGAGUGACCUGGCGGAACCGCUGGCAGGCAGGGUGGUCCUCCCGCCCUGUCCCGUCCCGUCCAGCUGGGGCUCUCGGUCCAGUGACAGAGGUCACUAAAGAGACACGAGGUCAGGGCCCCCCUUUUAGGCGAAGGCGGCGGGUCUGAAAACCAUUAAAAUCAGACCCUAACACAGGUCUUUUCCAAAUACCUGGGGACCUGAGGAACCCGAGAAGGGACUGCGGGUCAGAUUUCUUUCCGGAGACCCAGUCCCUCUGUCAUUUGCCCGAAUGGGGCCACUUCUGUUCUCAGCAAGUGCGGAAGACCCCUGGUUUCAGGCCAUCUAUGUCAAAACCUGUGCCAACACGCCAAACGUGGGAGGAGGGGAUGGCUCACAUGACAAAAGGAAUUCUUCGACAGAAACCUGCCACUUCAGCAUUCCUCUCGCUUACAAACUUCCUCCAGGCCUUUCCCAUGUCCCGUGAUCCACCGAGAUUGGUUUUGCACAGCUAUUGCUCCCUGCCCAGACCUCAUGGGCGAAGCAAGGGAGCCCGGGUGAUUUUGCAUAGACCGUCUUUCGCCAGUGGCAGAGUUCAAAGGGAGGAAUUUCAUUCAGGACCAUAAGCCCUCUUGGGAAGUGAGCAGGGAGCACCCAUCCUGGGAGGGAGGGGCCAGAGGACCCCAACCAGGUCCAUGGUGACAAGGGGACAUCGCCCAGGACCAUGCCGGCCAGACACAGAAGUAGCAGGGUCUGUCUGUCUGGACACGUAAACAAAUGUCCCAGGGCGCUGUCUCUUAAAGGGCCUCUUCCAGGCUCCUGGGAACUCUCAACCCCCAGGGAAGGAGGCAGGUCUCAGUCCUGAAGACCAGAACUGUAGUGCUUUAUGGUUCACCCAAAUGCAGUUCACUUCUGUCCUCACCAAGUACAAAGGGCACCUGAUUUCAAGACUUCUACGUCAAAGCCCGUGCCAACAAACCAAAUAAGUAUAUGGGGGGGGUGCGACCAGGUGGGGGUAAGCCUGGAAGACUUCUCAGAAGAGGCGGAGUAGAAAAGCUUUACGGCUGGGUUAUACUUCAGCGGGAAAAGGCUCCGUUCUGGCUUUAGCUGGCCAGGACGUCAGUGGACUCCCUGUUUCCUAAUGUGUCCACUGAUAGUGAAAAAGCCUGGGGAGCUUGUUAAAAAUGCAGACUCUGAGCACUGCCCGCCCCCGCCAGCCCCGUGCACUCACAAACCAACACAGAAAUGUCUAAAAGUGGGGGAAGGGGGAUGGUUGCUAAGAAUACUCAUUUUUAUUAGGCUCUCCAAGCAUUUCAUUCAUAGCGUGCAGGCAGUGGCGGUAGGGGUGGGGGGUGCUAGGGGAGCAGGUUCAAGUGCACUGGCUGAUCUGGGAAAAGCUGGGCAGGGAGGGCCCACGAGGAGUCCCCAAGGAGAGGGACGAGGCAGGUGUAGACAGACAGAGGGCUGUUCCCCAACUGUUUAGUCACAACAUCCCCAACCCCGCUCCCACCAAGACUUCCUGUUAUGAUCCUCCCUGGAGCUGGCUGGUGAUAGAAAGCGCCUGUGCCAGUGCACGAAGGGCGGGGGAGAGAGAGAGAAGGGAACAGAGGGAGAAGGGGGCAGAGGGAGAGAGAAGAUGAAUGCCUUUCAGUUUAC
rnacentral:lncRNA from 1 species